AUUUCCCAGCACCACUUUUGGCUAAGAUCAAGUGUAGUAUCUGUUCUUAUCAGAUUAACUGAUUUUCAUGUUGGACCAGCUUCACAGAAAAUUCAGUCAUGGUGUAUUUUUUUAUACAUUGUUGGAUUCAUUUUGCUAACAUAUUCUUAAGGAUUUUUACAUCUAUAUUCAUGAGAGAUAUUGGUC
ensembl:snRNA U2 U2 spliceosomal RNA